AAAUAGACCCAGGUUUGUUUCGUUUAAAGGAGGAUGCAAUUCUGUCCGUGAAUGCAUUUUCUCUAAAUGUUGGCUUCAUCCCUCCUUUGGUAGAGCAUGUCAACGGAUUUGCUAAUGGCAAAGAAGGGAAAACAGAAGCAAAGAAAACUGUUUCAAAAGUCUUGGAAUUGCUACUGUUAAAAGGCUGCGGUUCAUUUCUGAUUUCCUCAUCUUUUGCUACAAAGGAAAAAGAAAUCCAAUGAUGUGUCUACCUUUGGUGAGAAGAAAACACGAGCAACAGCAGUGUAGGCAGAAACUGCAGGCUGUUCAGAAUCCAAUUCUCUGGAUAUUGGCAUGCUACAUUCAAUGUCCAGCUACAUUAAGUGUCCAUCUAUCAAAAUACUAGAUUUCAUGGCUGGAGCAGGAAAAGUUAUGAGCUUGGAAUAUCUUCAGUGCCUGAAAGUGAGGAAGUGCUCCCAAAAAUAUGAAGGCCUGUCAAAAGGGAGAGAACAAGAAGGAGGAGGAGCUAGAAAAAGAAAAAGCAGUGGGAACUGUCAUGGGUGAAUCCCAGAAUGGGCAUCCCAGAUGACAUCUGUCUCCAUUCCUGCCAUCUCUUCCUGGCUGCCAGCCACUUAGCCUCCAGGUGUUUGUGUCUAAGGCCAACUCUCUUUCCAGACUAGAAGAAAGUGAGGCAGCUCACCUUUUCAUUUAGGUUUACUUUGGAAAGUUCUGUGGUUGAAUAUCAACAUAGUGACUGAUUUGUGGCUGUAAAGCUGUAGCAGCUCAGGUAGCACAUGUAAGAGUGAGACUGGAUGGAGAGACUGGAUGAAUUAUGCCAUCUUACCAAGGCAUUGAUUAGUUGAUUAAGGCUUGUUUGAGCAAAAAAGUGAGUUAUAUCAGAUAUAGUUAUAUCAGAUACACUGAUACUCAAAUCCCACCAGAGAACUCAGCAGGCCACCGAUAACCCAUUCACUUUUCUUCUCCCGUGACUUUACUCAUCUUAUUAUUAAACAAGGAAUGUCUUGGUCCACCACUGAACCAAGUUUAAGAGUCAACUCAAAUGCCACUUACUUCUUGAAGCCCUUCAUGAUACUGUCAAGGAUAAUGGAAAUAUAUGAUUUCUCCCUUUCAUCUAUAUAAAUUAUUUCCCCAUAUAUACAUUAACAUGUCGUCAGGAAACUUAACAGAAAUAUGGUAACUCUUAUUAAGUUUCCUUUAAGCAUUUUUUUCUAUACUUGUGCCUUAGAAAAAUUGGAAGAACUAGAAAUGGAAAUAUUGCAGAGUGAGAAACUUAUGGGAUGUUCGUUAGAGAGAGUAUCAUGAAGGAAAACAUGAGAUUAAAGACACUGCAACUAUCUGAGAGGCCUGUGUAAAAUUGUGUAAGCAAAAUAAGGAAUCUAAUAUUGAAAUAUGCAAAUAAUUUUACUUUUAGGAACUUAGACUCCUUUGUAGAGCAUUAAAUUUUAUGCUAUAUUAAGUAGAGGUAAUGCUGUUUUGUACAUAAAAACUAUCUUUGGAUUA
rnacentral:lncRNA from 1 species